rnacentral:rRNA from 1 species
GACGAACGCUGGCGGCGUGCCUAAUACAUGCAAGUAGAACGCAGUUGCGAACGGGUGAGUAACGCGUAGGGAACUGCCUCAUAGCGGGGGAUAACUAUCGGAAACGAUAGCUAAUACCGCAAACUGUGAGAUGGACCUGCGUUGUUUUAGGUUGUUGGUGAGGUAGAGGCUCACCAAGGCGACGUUACAUAGCCGACCUGGGAGGGUGAUCGGCCACACUGGGACUGAGACACGGCCCAGACUUCUACGGGAGGCAGCAGUAGGGAAUCUUCGGCAAUGGACGGAAGUCUGACCGAGCAACGCCGCGUGAGUGAAGAAGGUUUUCGGAUCGUAAAGCUCUGUUGUUAGAGAAGCGUUAACUAACCAGAAAGGGACGGCUAACUACGUGCCAGCAGCCGCGGUAAUAC